rnacentral:lncRNA from 1 species
AGGUAAGUAAUUAAUUACAACUAAUGUUUGUAUCUUUAAUUAAUUAAACUUAUUAAUUACUUAGCUUGAGUAAUUGAUUUUUUUUUUUUUUUUUUGAGAUAAUCUUUUAGUAGUUAUGAGGUGUUGAUGGUGCAGCUUGUGGUGUGAAUGGAGCACUAUACACCUUAAUUGCAUGUGUGACUGGUUUCGCCUGUUGCUACUCAUGCUUCUAUAGAGGAAAACUGAGGCAGCAACACGCAUUGAAGGAGAGCCCUUGUGGGGAUUGUUUGGUUCAUUGCUGCUGCGAAUAUUGUGCCUUAUGCCAAGAAUAUCGUGAGCUUAAAACCCGUGGAUAUGACUUGUCUAUAGGUAAAAAGAUUUGGACUUUCUUUAUGGGUAUUAUUUCAACUAUUAUGGGUUCUUCUAAAUUUGAUAGGGUUCUUAUAAUUAAUUAUAUAUUUUGGGUCUUUGUUGUAGGAUGGCAUGGCAAUGUGGAGAGGAAGAACCGGAGCCUGGAGAUGGCUUCAGUGCCACCGAAGGUCGAAGAAGGCAUGAGUAGAUAGAGUGGGAGAUCUCAGGUCUCUGGUCGUACUUGUCAAACCGUAGUAAAUCUUAGUUUGGUUUAUAUUAUAAAUCCGAAUCAUAAAUGCAUGUAACUUUUUUUUUUUUACCGUUAUUUAAGAUUUGGCUAGAGUUCAAAGUCAAACUUACCAACACAUAGCCUUGAGUGGAAAUAACAUUGAUCAAGAUAUAAAUAUAUAGAUCUAAAGGCAUUCUUAAAUGUGUGGAACUAGAUUCCAGGUGCUGUAUUAGUGUUUUGUUUAUUCAGUGGAAACUAAUGCUAUGUUUAAAUAUAUUCAUUGUUGUUAGUGCAACUAAUAGUUUUUGGAGCAAAUAGAACAAUAAUCCAACAUUAGCAGGAUAAAAACUUCUUGGUUUCCCAGGGUCACAACCAUCUCUGUACAGAAUUUGAUUCCUCUAUAUACAGUUGCGCGUAGAAGGUAAAAUGUGAUUAACUUUAAUCAAAUAAAAGAUAUAUAAUAUUACAACAAAUCCAAAUUUCAUUCCGUUAUGACCAACCAAACAUGUUGGCAUUACCAGAGGAUUGCUUGGAAUUCUGAAUCUUGGUGAAAAAUUAAAGUUUGCCAUUGAAUUAAUCUCACUCUGGAUAAAAAUCAAGGUCCUUGGGAGGACCUUUUCGAAGUUUAUCUUGUAGAUCCAAUUGCUUUGGCACGACAAGUUCAGUUCCCUCCCCUGACAUGCAAAAAUAUCUCUCUAAUACCAUCUGCAACGAGAAAAAUGCCAGUAAACAAUAUAAGAAAACAGAAAAUUGAGAUAGUUUCUAGCGAGGACAAUAUUUUGCAUACAGCAGUAUCCUUCUCAUACGAAGACGUAAAAUAAUUUCAUUCCAUACCACAGCUGCAUAGGCAUCAACGCUCUUUUGCCGAGCACUCUUGCGAAGGCCCCUGAAAUAGUUCACACAAUUAUCUAUCCAUCAACGUUAUUUGCCUCCAUGCAACUGCAUAUUAUCUGACUGAUAAGCAGAAAACUUUUAUGCAUUGUCUGUAAUAUGGCAUCUUCAGAUAAUGCAACCACCUCUACUAACUAGUAUUUUGCCAGGGGAAGGAAAACCAUUGCUUAAUUGCAAAAAAUCAUGAGCACUCAAAUUCCUAUUCCACUAUUUUGCAUUUCAAUCCCCAAAAUCAAUUUAUCAAUUACAUCAACUCUUCUAUUCCAGCUGUUCUUUUAUCGCAGUACCUCAAACUUAAAGAAUCAGACAUGACGAAUAGGAUAUCAAAAGAAUUUCUUCAUCUGGUACAACUUCCGUGUUUAAAUUAAUUAAACUUAUUAAUUACUUAGCUUGAGUAAUUGAUUUUUUUUUUUUUUUUUUUGAGAUAAUCUUUUAGUAGUUAUGAGGUGUUGAUGGUGCAGCUUGUGGUGUGAAUGGAGCACUAUACACCUUAAUUGCAUGUGUGACUGGUUUCGCCUGUUGCUACUCAUGCUUCUAUAGAGGAAAACUGAGGCAGCAACACGCAUUGAAGGAGAGCCCUUGUGGGGAUUGUUUGGUUCAUUGCUGCUGCGAAUAUUGUGCCUUAUGCCAAGAAUAUCGUGAGCUUAAAACCCGUGGAU